rnacentral:lncRNA from 1 species
CACAUCCCCAGCCCUAAGUUCAGUAUUAUUGACAUAAAAAGGGAUAUAGACUAUCUUGUAAAAUUGUCACUAAAUUGGAAAAAAAUGGUAAUUGACAUGAAAUAUUUUUAAAGCCAUGGAUCUGAUAAGGGGAAAAAUAUAGCAGGGAUUUAUAUAAGGAUGAAAAAGUCAUUAUUUAUUCCACUAAAUAAUUAUGCCACAUAAUUUUAUAAUAUUAAUAUGGAAAAAUUCUGUUUCUAUGACUUCAAAUAGAGCUUCUUUUAGUAUUGCACAAAGGAUAUAUAAUGGUGAAUUCAUUAAACAGAUGGACUAUUAUGCUUGUUCUAAAAGCUACUUUAAAAACACAAUUGGCAGGGGAUGGGGAUGUGACUCAAUCGGCAUGCGCGGGGUGCUGGGUUCGAUCCUCAGCACCACAUAAAAUAAAAUAAAGAUGUUGUGUCCACCGAAAACUAAAAAUAAAUAUUAAAAAAUUCUCUCUCUCUCUCUCUCUCUCUCUCUCUCUCUCUCUCUCUCUCUUUAAAACAAAAACAAAAACAAAAACAUGUGGCAGGACACUGCGGCGCACACCUAUAAUCCCAGCAGUUUGUGAGACAGGGGACAGGAGAAUUGAGAGUUCAAAGCCAGCCUCAGCAACUCAGUGGAAUCCCCUAAAUAAAAUCAAAAUAGGGCUGGGGAUGUGGUCGAGUACCCCUGAGUUCAAUCCCAGGAACCAAAAAAUUAAAAUAAAAAAUAAAACACGUGAAUCCUGACAGGCAUCAAGAUCAAAUAUAAUCAAGGCACUUCAACAAUUAAAGAUAUUUGUCAAAUAUUAAAAGAUAUAAUAUCAAAUGACACAUUAUAAUAUCCUGAAAUAGAAAGCCUCUUGGUGCAAAUAGAUUACAAAUUUUUAUGCAACUUCUCUUUAUGGGAUGAUAUUUUGAAUCAGAUAGAAAAAGUUAAUAAAGGUUUAUAAUUAAAAAAUGACUACAUACAAAACUGCAUGCUUAAUAAUAAAUAGGCUUAUCCUUUUGCUAAUAGCAAAUGAAAGUAACUCUGAAAUUGAUUAAUGUAAAACUUUAGCAAGAAAGAUGAAUGUACUUGAACAAAAAAGAAAAAAUUAGAAAUGAACAAAUCACCAGAUGAGUUUAUCAAUUAUUGUGGUAAAAGUGUUUAUCAACUAGAAAUUAAAGAGAUUAUAUCUAGAGAUGGAGAUAUGAAAAAUCAAAUGAAGUGUAUUCAGAUUUUGAAUUAUUA